rnacentral:rRNA from 1 species
UGGGGAAUUUUGGACAAUGGGCGAAAGCCUGAUCCAGCAAUGCCGCGUGUGUGAAGAGGGCCUUCGGGUUGUAAAGCACUUUUGUCCGGAAAGAAAUCCUUGGCUCUAAUACAGUCGGGGGAUGACGGUACCGGAAGAAUAAGCACCGGCUAACUACGUGCCAGCAGCCGCGGUAAUACGUAGGGUGCAAGCGUUAAUCGGAAUUACUGGGCGUAAAGCGUGCGCAGGCGGUUUGCUAAGACCGAUGUGAAAUCCCCGGGCUCAACCUGGGAACUGCAUUGGUGACUGGCAGGCUAGAGUAUGGCAGAGGGGGGUAGAAUUCCACGUGUAGCAGUGAAAUGCGUAGAGAUGUGGAGGAAUACCGAUGGCGAAGGCAGCCCCCUGGGCCAAUACUGACGCUCAUGCACGAAAGCGUGGGGAGCAAACAGGAUUAGAUACCCUGGUAGUCCACGCCCUAAACGAUGUCAACUAGUUGUUGGGGAUUCAUUCCUUAGUAACGUAGCUAACGCGUGAAGUUGACCGCCUGGGGGGUACGGUCGCAAGAUUAAAACUCAAAGGAAUUGACGGGGUCAUAGCUGUUUCCU